UACGUAGGGUGCGAGCGUUAAUCGGAAUUACUGGGCGUAAAGCGUGCGCAGGCGGUUUUGUAAGCCAGAUGUGAAAUCCCCGGGCUUAACCUGGGAAUGGCAUUUGGGACUGCAAGGCUGGAGUGCGGCAGAGGAGGGCGGAAUCCCCGGUGUAGUGGUGAAAUGCGUAGAUAUCGGGGGGAACACCAGUGGCGAAGGCGGCCCUCUGGGGUGUACCUGACGCUGAGGCGCGAAAGCGUGGGGAGCGAACCGG
rnacentral:rRNA from 1 species